UACGUAGGCAGCGAGCGUUGUUCGGAAUUACUGGGCGUAAAGAGUGUGUAGGCGGUGCUCUAAAGUUCGGUGUGAAAUCUCCUGGCUCAACUGGGAGGGUGCGCCGGAAACUGGAGUGCUUGAGCGUGGGAGAGGAAAGCGGAAUUCCUGGUGUAGCGGUGAAAUGCGUAGAUAUCAGGGAGGAACACCUGUGGUGUAGACGGCUUUCUGGACCAUAGCUGACGCUGAGAACACGAAAGCGUGGGUAGCAAACAGG
rnacentral:rRNA from 1 species